rnacentral:misc_RNA from 1 species
AACGCAUAUUGCACUCUCUGGUAUUCCGGGGAGUAUGCCUGUUUCAGUAUCAUUGAUCAUCUCAAAAUCAUAAAGGAUUUUGGAAUUUGAGCUUUGCCGGAAAAAAAAAUCGGCUGGCUUUAAACUUAGUCACAGCAAAGAACCGGGUUUUAUAAAUCGGGCCAAAAGCGUAAUAGUUGGCUUUUUUCAAAAGUCCAUCUUUCGCUGAAAGCCAGGUUUUUUUUGGUUCCUUGAUUUUUGUGCUUGCAGAGAAUAAAAAAAUAUAUAUAUAUUUUUUCAACUUGAUCUGAAAUCAGGUAGGAUUACCCGCUGAACUUAA